GUAGGGAAUCUUCCACAAUGGGCGCAAGCCUAAUGGAGCAACACCGCGUGAGUGAAGAAGGGUUUCGGCUCGUAAAGCUCUGUUGUUAGAGAAGAACGUGCGUGAGAGCAACUGUUCACGCAGUGACGGUAUCUAACCAGAAAGUCACGGCUAACUACGUGCCAGCAGCCGCGGUAAUACGUAGGUGGCAAGCGUUAUCCGGAUUUAUUGGGCGUAAAGCGAGCGCAGGCGGUUUGAUAAGUCUGAUGUGAAAGCCUUUGGCUUAACCAAAGAAGUGCAUCGGAAACUGUCAGACUUGAGUGCAGAAGAGGACAGUGGAACUCCAUGUGUAGCGGUGGAAUGCGUAGAUAUAUGGAAGAACACCAGUGGCGAAGGCGGCUGUCUGGUCUGCAACUGACGCUGAGGCUCGAAAGCAUGGGUAGCGAACAGGAUUAGAAACCCCGGUAGUCC
rnacentral:rRNA from 1 species